GACGAACGCUGGCGGCGUGCUUAACACAUGCAAGUCGAACGGAAAGGCCCUGCUUUUGUGGGGUGCUCGAGUGGCGAACGGGUGAGUAACACGUGAGUAACCUGCCCUUGACUUUGGGAUAACUUCAGGAAACUGGGGCUAAUACCGGAUAGGAGCUCCUGCUGCGUGGUGGGGGUUGGAAAGUUUCGGCGGUUGGGGAUGGACUCGCGGCUUAUCCGCUUGUUGGUGGGGUAGUGGCUGACCAAGGCUUUGACGGGUAGCCGGCCUGAGAGGGUGACCGGGCACAUUGGGACUGAGAGACGGCCCAGACUCCUACGGGAGGCAGCAGGGGGGAAUAUUGCACAAUGGGCGGAAGUCUGAUGCAGCAACGCCGGGUGCGGGAUGACGGCCUUCGGGUUGUAAACCGCUGUCGCCUGUGACGAAGCGUGAGUGACGGUAAUGGGUAAAGAAGCACCGGCUAACUACGUG
rnacentral:rRNA from 1 species